GGAUUGUAGUCUGCAACUCGAGUGCAUGAAGCUGGAAUCGCUAGUAAUCGCGAAUCAGAAUGUCGCGGUGAAUACGUUCCCGGGUCUUGUACACACCGCCCGUCACACCAUGGGAGCCGACAACGCCCGAAGUCAGUGACCUAACCGAGAGGGAGGAGCUGCCGAAGGCGGGGUUGGUAACUGGGGUGAAGUCGUAACAAGGUACC
rnacentral:rRNA from 1 species